CAAACUGCGAUAAGUAGUGUGAAUUGCAUUUAGUGAAUCAUCGAAUCUUUGAACGCACCCUGCACUCACUGGUAUUCCGGUGAGUACGCCUGUUUCAGUAUCAUUGAAAACACACAAUCAAAACAUUUUCUUUGGUUUGAUUGGCUUUGGGUCUAUCAAAAAGUUUGGCUUGUUUCUUACAAGCCAAGCGGCCUGAAAUAUAUUGUCUGGCUAAUUGCAUCGUUGAUGAUCGCUAUUAGACUUUGGCUUUUUUAAAUGAACUGGAGGUUGAUUAACCAGUUUUAGCUUUAGUCAAAUGGUCAUUGUAAAAAAAAUCUCGAUCUUGGCUAGGUGUUUAUAGCCGAAAAUUUUUUUGGCUAUAACCGAAACCAAUAUAAUCACAUUUAGUUAUAGAUCUGAAAUCAGGUGGGACUACCCGCUGAACUUAAGC
rnacentral:misc_RNA from 1 species